AUCGAUUCUCUUUGGUACUCAGCCUCAGCUCUCCAAGAAAGAGAGAUCUCUUUGGUUGAUCAGAGAGUCUUUCAAGCUCUUCAAAGUCCAAGGUUCACACGAAUUAAUUUGGUCAAGCAUUCGUCAAAGAUAAAAUGCAACUUUGGUUGCUAAAUUGGUGAUACUGUUGUUUACAGAAGACGGGNAGAAUUUUGUUCUUCAUUAUGGAGUCCUUGUGGAAGCUCUUGUAUUUGCUGGAGCCUGCACCCAUUACCCUAAUAGUGACAGCUGUAGCCGUGACAUUUGGAUCUGCAUUUAGAGCUCUAAAUUAUGGAAAAGAAAUGGAGCGGAAUCGUGACUUAUC
rnacentral:misc_RNA from 1 species